rnacentral:rRNA from 1 species
GAUGAACGCUAGCGGCAGGCUUAAUACAUGCAAGUCGAGGGACAGCACAGGUAGCAAUACUGGGUGGUAACCGGCAAACGGGUGCGGAACACGUACACAACCUUCCUUUAAGUGGGGGAUAGCCCAGAGAAAUUUGGAUUAAUACACCGUAAUAUAGUUGAAUGGCAUCAUUUGAUUAUUAUAGCUACGGCGCUUAAUGAUGGGUGUGCGGCUGAUUAGAUAGUUGGCGGGGUAACGGCCCACCAAGUCUACGAUCAGUAGCUGAUGUGAGAGCAUGAUCAGCCACACGUGCACUGAGACACGGGCCCGACUCAUACGGGAGGCGGCAGUAAGGAAUAUUGGUCAAUGGACGCAAGUCUGAACCAGCCAUGCCGCGUGAAGGAUUAAGGUCCUCUGGAUUGUAACCUUCUUUUAUUUGGGACGAAAAAGGGCCUUUCUAGGUCAACUGACGGUACCAGAUGAAUAAGCCCCGGCUAACUCCGUGCCAGCCGCCGCCGUAAGAC